rnacentral:rRNA from 1 species
UACGUAGGUGACCAGCGUUGUCCGGAUUUACUGGGCGUAAAGAGCGCGCAGGCGGUCGUUCAAGUCGAGUGUGAAAGCCCCCGGCUCAACUGGGGAGGGUCACUCGAUACUGAUCGACUUGAAGGCAGGAGAGGGAAGCGGAAUUCCCGGUGUAGUGGUGAAAUGCGUAGAUAUCGGGAGGAACACCAGUGGCGAAAGGCGACACGCUGGACCGUCAUCUGACGCUGAUGCGCGAAAGCCAGGGGAGCGAACGGG